ensembl:lncRNA
AUGCAAAAGGCUUGCCUCCAGGUUACAACAACACAACCACACCACAAAACCACAAUCCAGACCCACAAAACUCACAACAAUGCAUCAUGUGAUAACAACACAACUAAACACCCCAGAAAUACAAAACUUGGCAACACAAUGCAAAAGCCUUGCCUCCCAGUUGUAACAACACAACCACACCACAAAACCACACAGGACCCACAAAACUCACAACAACGCAUUGUGACUAUAACAAAUACAAAACUUGGCAACACAACACAAAAGCCUUGCCUCUCAGUUGUAACAACACAACCACACCACAAAACCACAAUCUGGACCCACAAAACUCACAACAACGCAUUGUGACUAUAACAAAUACAAAAUCUGACAACACAACUCAUCCACCUCCCCAAUCCCUACAUUCACACUUGGCCUCCAAAAAAACAAUUACAAUAAUAACAAUUACAACAACAACAACAAUAAGAAUCAACACCAUCACAGGCAAGAAGCAGCCAGGCACUGAGGCUGAGAGGCCAGUCAGUGCUACACUGGGCCUCCAAAAAACAAUACAGUAGCAUCUAACUUAUCCAACCUUCAUGACCACUACAACAACAACAAUAAUAAACACCUACACAGGCAAAACAAAAAAAAGACUAUUGUACCACAAUAAAAAUAUAAACCGCACUCAGCAGAAUCAGACAUUACAAUUAACAACAAACCAAAGACAACAGGGAUCUCAAGCAAUUAUCAAUCAACACAAAAAUUGAAGAAGGUAACAGACUUCAAAUACUACUACUAAUGUGAGUAUAAAGAAGGGUGGAGGUCACAGCAUAAAUACAACCUAAUGUAGACUGACCAACACCACCAGACUAAGCCACAGCAACGCGUGGCCGGGCACAGCUAGUCUAUAUAUAUAAAAGGGUAAUGAAAUUUCGGCCUAGGACAAAACAACAAAACUACACAUCCCAGAAACACUAAACGUGGCAGCACAACCACUCAUCCAUGACUCUACGUUCAUACAACAAAAAGCUCCAGCUACUCCAGAAAACAGCCAGGCUUUGAGACUGCAAGGCCAUUCACUACUAUUCCACCUGGCUAACAAAUGAUUCCCAUAAGCCACAGCAACGCGUGGCCGGGCAAAGCUAGUAUUUAUAUAUGUCUCCUCUCAGUCUUCUCUUCUGUAGGCUAAACAUGCCCAGCUCUUACAGCCGCUCCUCAUAGGGCAGUGGUUCUCAACCUGUGGGUCCCCAGAUGUUUUGGCCUUCAACUCCCAGGGGCCUUCCACACAGCCCUAUAUCCCAGAAUAUCAAGGCAGAAAAUCCCCCAACAUCUGCUUUGAACUGGGUUAUCUGAGUCCACACUCAGAUAAUGUGGGAUUUUCUGCCUUGAUAUUCUGGGAUAUAGGGCUGUGUGGAAGAGCCUCAAAAUUCUAACAACUGGUAAACUGGCUGGGAUUUCAGGUAGUUGUAGGCCAAAACACCUGGGGAUCCACCGGUUGAGAACCACAGUGGGGCAGAGAGUUCCACUGCUGAACAGUUCUCACAGUGAGGUUCUUCCUAAUGUUCAGGUGGAAUCUGCUUUCUUGCAGUUUGAAGCCAUUGUUCUGCGUCCUACUCUCCAGAGCAGCAGAAAACAAGCUUGUUCCCCCCUCCCUAUGACUUCCCCUCACAUAUUGAUACAUGGCCCUCAUUAUGUCUCCUCUCAGCCUUCUCUUCUGCAGGCUAAACAUGUCCAGCUCUUUAACCCGCUUCUCACAGGGCUUGUUCUCCAGACCCUUGAUCAUUUUAGUCUCCC